UGUUGCUCAAAAAAAAAAAAAAAAAAAAAAAGAAUCUAUACUUUGAAUGGAGGCACAAAUUGCAAUUCUAACAAAGACGGCUCUGCAUAAUAUAAAUACCACCCUAGUGCAAAAUCACGGACGAUGGUGUUUUACAGAUGGCUCAUGGAAAGAUAGAGCUUUUUUUCGGGAUAAGGUUGGUAUACUACUUUACUAGAUUUUGAUGAUCUAAUGGGGACAAUGAAUGUUAGGCCAGUAUUUUUCCUCUUCACGCAGAGGUAGAAGCACUAGUGUAAACAAUAGAAUGCAUGAAGAAUUUACGUCAAUUUCAGAUUACGUUUGCAACGGAUUGUUCAUAAUUGGUGAAAAUAGUUUCGGAACCAGAAAAAUGACCAGUUUUUGCAAGUUAUUUGGAAGAUAUCAAGACCCUUAAAGAGAGCUUCUUAAACUCAGAGAUCGUUCAUGUACCACAGACAAAAAAAACUUAAAAACUGAUAGUCUAGCACGUAGUGUGAGGAAUCAACCAUCAUUUAUCGUUCAUAUGGACGCAGAUCUAACAGUUUGGUUCACAAAAUCAGUUUGAGUCUAUUAUUUCGCUGAUGACAAACAAUAUAUAUAUAUAAAUAUAUGCGUUAAAGCAUUACCAAGAUUCCUAAAAGAAUAUUUUCCUAGAAAUAUUUCAAUAACAGUUAACAAAUUUAGAUAUAAUGCUAUUGUUUAAUGGUCUAUAUAAUUGUUUUGUUUUAGUAAACCACCAAAAGAUAUAUAUUUGUAAUGGUUUGUGGUGGUUUGGUCGUUGCUAUACCAUGCAGAUUAAAUUAUCUUAUAGUCAUAUUUGGUGAUUAAGUUUUCACAUUGAUACGAUUUGUGUUACGUUUUCAUCAUAUAUUCUACAUUUUAAUUUAUUAAUGUUUAUCUACUUUUCUAUAAAAAAAAUAUUUUAAUAAAGAGUAAUCUACCAAAAUCACCUAAUCUUGGUUUCAAAUGUAAAAAUAUAUCUAACUUCAAUCAAAUGUAAAAUUAACCCAAAAUACUAGUGAAAUUAUAAUUAUUUUCUAAAAAACAAACAGAAAAUCAAUAUGCAUUUUUAUGAAUAUAACCACGGGAAGUGUUUGGUGGGAAGAAAAUCUUCCCAUAUAGUAAAUCUUAAAAUAAUUUAUACAUUUUACAAAAAUAUUUUUAAUGACAAAAAUUAAAAUCAUGUAACUAUAAAUAUUUUAAAUGAUAUAAAUUAAUAUCUAGUAAAAUUAAAUUAUUUUUAACAUAGGUGGGUGAAUGUAAAUGGAGUUAUAAUAUUCUUUAACUGCUUUAGAGUUUGAUAACAUAUGUUAUAGUAUGGUUUUUUUUAGAUUUAGAUUUUGGAAUAUUAAUUUGUUUUUGAAAAAUUAAAUUUGACAUAUAUAUGUUUAGUUUUGUGUAUAUCAAUUAUUUUAAAAGUUGAUUUUAAAUAUAAUGAAUUGUUUCUUUAGGUUUAGUUAGUUAUUUGAAUUUAAGAUUUAGAUGACUUAAGUUUUCUAACAAAUAAUGCACUUGAAGACUUCUCUGAAAAUCUGAGAAAAUCUUAUAGGCGAAUAGUAAAUUUAAGGUUCAGUAGACUAUUAUAAGACUUUUUUGAAAGUUUUUUCAAUCGAAAAUAUUUAAUCUAAUUGGAAUUUGUGUUUUCUAUAUAAAGAAAAUUUAUACAUCCUUUAUCUAAUUCUAAAAUGGCUGCAAAAAAAUGUAUUGUUUCUCUCACUCUGGAACUUUUCAACCUCUCUCUAAUCUCUUUGAACUUAAAAACACCAAACUUAAUGUCAAUUUCUCAUUUUUUGUCUCAUGUCAUUCUCAAUAAUUUAUUUUGUCUUUACAGGUUUUUGAUUACAUGGUUCUUAUCUUCCACUAUUUUAAAGGUAGAUCUAUAAAUUUUUGAUAUGUAUUUUUGUGUGUGUUGUUCUAAACAAUUACAUGUUCAUUCUAAUGUGACUAUUUUAUUUAUUAUUUAAGUAUAAAAAUUAUUUUGAAGUUUUUCUCUGUUUUGAAGUCAUUUGAACAUUUUUGGAUAUGCAUGUUUUUUAUAUCUGAGUCAAAGUUUGAAAGACUUUCGUGAAGUCUUCUUAGAAGUCUUAUAACAUAUAAUGCACUAAAAUACUUUUUGGAAGUCUUCUGUCGGAGUUUUCUCCUAUAUCUCCUCUUUUAUAAUCGAUCUGAUCAGUGUUUUGUUUCAGAUCUGGAACUGUAAAGUGGAGGACCCUGUCCGAGCUGGAGAAAGAGGUCUCAAAGUUUACUGCCGGAGGUGUCAAUGUGGGAGAGGAGAUCUUGUAGGUUGAAGCCAAUAGUGGAAUCAAACAGAUCUGAGUGUUUUUAGCAAGUUUCCAUAUCUGAAUUUUCUUCAUCUAGUAACUCAUCUUGUUGCUUAAACCUCUUAUUUUUUUCUUCAUCUAAGUAAACAGAUCUGAGUGUGUUGAAAUUGAUGAAAGUUUGAGGUUUCACGUUUUUUCAAGAUUUCAUGGAAUACUUGCCGGAAGACUUUCAAGAAGACUUCAUGCGUGCGAAGUCUUCUUGGAAGUCUUCCAGGUUGUCUUCAAAAACCUAGAACAUGAAUAUGGAGGACUAUCAAAGUUUAUGAUUUCUAUCUUAUGUUGUUUGUGUUACAGCUUUUCGAGAUGAGUGUCAUUCUCAAUGCUUAAACAACAUAUGCUCACAGUUUGUCGAAGUGCUACAAAGGGAUGAUGAUGUCAAGUGGAGUCCAAACUUAUCUAUGUGGAUUAAUGAUCUCUAACUUCAUUUGUAAUAGUUUUGUUUAAGGUAUGUUUUGUGUUUUGUAUGUAUACUCUUUUAAUUGUGGAUUUUUUUUUAUAAAAAAAUUGAAGAGAUGUUAAUGCAAACAUCUGUAAAUAUGUUCAUGUCUACAA